rnacentral:rRNA from 1 species
AGAGUUUGAUCAUGGCUCAGAACGAACGCUGGCGGCAGGCCUAACACAUGCAAGUCGAGCGCCCGCAAGGGAGCGACAGACGGGUGAGUAACGCGUGGGAACGUGCCCUUUGGUUCGGAAUAACCCUGGGAAACUAGGGCUAAUACCGGAUACGCCCUUUUUGGGGAAAGGUUUACUGCCGGAAGAUCGGCCCGCGUCUGAUUAGCUAGUUGGUGGGGUAACGGCCUACCAAGGCGACGAUCAGUAGCUGGUCUGAGAGGAUGAUCAGCCACACUGGGACUGAGACACGGCCCAGACUCCUACGGGAGGCAGCAGUGGGGAAUAUUGGACAAUGGGCGCAAGCCUGAUCCAGCCAUGCCGCGUGAGUGAUGAAGGCCUUAGGGUUGUAAAGCUCUUUUAUCCGGGACGAUAAUGACGGUACCGGAGGAAUAAGCCCCGGCUAACUUCGUGCCAGCAGCCGCGGUAAUACGAAGGGGGCUAGCGUUGCUCGGAAUCACUGGGCGUAAAGGGCGCGUAGGCGGCGUUUUAAGUCGGGGGUGAAAGCCUGUGGCUCAACCACAGAAUGGCCUUCGAUACUGGGACGCUUGAGUAUGGUAGAGGUUGGUGGAACUGCGAGUGUAGAGGUGAAAUUCGUAGAUAUUCGCAAGAACACCGGUGGCGAAGGCGGCCAACUGGACCAUUACUGACGCUGAGGCGCGAAAGCGUGGGGAGCAAACAGGAUUAGAUACCCCGGUAGUCC